CGAUUUUAGAUAAAUGAAAUGAUGUCCUUGUUACUUCCUUAAUUCUCCAUAUUACAUACGUUGCCACGUUUGCAAGGAGUGAAAAUGCUUGCACCCUAAUAACAGGUGGUCAUCCGGAAGCAGAGGGAAAGGAGGGAAGGAGGGUGUUGGAUAUGGUGGUGGUGCGUGCGGAAGCGGAGGCAAGACGGGCACUGUAAUGCCCAGGAAUCCCAAUCGUCGCCAACCCUUCAUGGAGUGUAACAUAUAAAGGCGAAGCUCUUGGGACGAUGUGCACUGUGGGAUUGCGACGUUGGCUUGCUCUAUCUUCGUACCUAGGGAGAAUUCUUCCACGCCCUAGGCAAUAAAUCCCUCGCACCCGACACCCCCUCGGUAACUAGGAUACAAAAGGGCAAUAGUCGCUGUACGUACCGCCGAACAAAGCAAUGUGAAGACCGCUGAAGACCAAUGGCCCUAGUGGGGAGGAACCUAGGCUCAAAUUACAAGCUGGUACUUCAACCUGGAAACCCAAAUCUUGGUCUUGCCGUUGCCAGACCAGUUUAUCAAUGGUUGUUACGUCGAGUACGGCAGCGCAGGUCCCCCGUCUGCAAUGGUCCCAAGACCGCGGGCAUUUCCGCUCAACUAUUCCACGAGGACACUCCAACCAGCGUCCAACACACGCAAGCGAGCAAAUAAACUUGAGGAAAAAAGCGGGCAUCAGGAGCUUUCGGCACGGACAAGACGCAGAUCAAGUAAAGAAGAGGCUACCGCUAGUAUGAUUAAGCAAACAGGCCUGAAGCUGACUUUAUACAACGAGAAACGAGCAAACAGAACAACGGCGUAAAAAACCCACCCGCUCUGACGCGUCACGGAACCUCACGUGGCGCUGAUGCCCCUCUGAAGGAGUCUCUUAACGCGAUGCCGACGCCUCUGCCACCCUGAUAGCGGGGUAAAGAGGGCAUUCAGCGAAGGUAUAGGCAGGGGCUCUCGUUCAGAGGUCUGCAAAUAAGGCGGGUACUGGGGGUACGUACCACAGUACCCGCAGGCGGAAUUCGGCUUAAGGCCCCGGCUGCGAGUCCCUUGACCAAAAUUUGCCCCAAAGACAUGAUUUGCAGCCUCUAUUCCGGCCCGUAGGGCUGCGGGCUGGACGUGUAGCGCUUUAAAAUGCUGCCCUUUCUUUGGCACCGGAAUGCUUUUUUAAAUGUUUUUUAGGUUUACUAAUCGAAAUUAUGCCCCCCCCAGCCGUAGAAACCGAUUUGCUGACCUCUGCACUCGUUACGGGCGGAGUUCUGUUACGGAAGGACGACACGCGGACGAGGCAAUUCGCUACCCUUAUGUUCAGUAACUAAUUUGCAUACAGUUUGUCGUUGAACGUGGAGACGAUUGCUAUUUGUAUUCUCUGAUGUAGCCAAGAGGUUUGCUUUUAGGCUCUGCUUAGGGAAUGGAACCCUAAGCAAAGCUCGGUUUAACUUGCAUAGUAGUGAGCAACAUGUCCAUAUCAGCUGUGAUAGUACAAGGACGAUGUAAGCACACUGUUGGUAUGUUGGCAGCAAACCAUCAUUAUUGAAGUCGUUUUGUAAACUCCAGCAUACAGUGAUGUCGGCGAUCUGUAAAAAUAUUUUCGGAUUGCUAAAGUAUCAAAACAAGUGCG
rnacentral:lncRNA from 1 species